rnacentral:tRNA from 1 species
GAGGGUACAGCUCAGUGGUAGAGCGCGUGCUUAGCAUGCAUGAGGUUCUGGGUUCAAUCCCCAGUACCUCCA